rnacentral:lncRNA from 1 species
AUUAUCAAACCGCUAUCCAACCACGUUUCCCAACCUAAUUCUGGUGAUUAAAGGGAAAAUCGAACUUGACGACUUGUUCAAUCGCUAGAAGGAGUCAACUGCCGGUGAUCGGAGGGUUACCAUUGGUUCAAUCGCAACCACAACCACCUUCAAUUUUAGUAUGUGUAGGCGCCAACAGCUACGUUCACUUCUACAGACAUUAGUAAAAUGCAAGAUUAUCAAUCAAAUUCUCAUGAUGCACAUGGAAAAGGAAAUGAGUAUUUGGAAGCUAGACUAGUGAGGAUUCAGGAGAACCAAAAAAGACUACGAGAAUUUGGAGUUAAAAACAUUGUGGACUCUAUGGAAGUCUGGUAGACAGUAACAAAAUGAAGAAAAAACAGUGAAGAACACUCAUGCGGGGGAUGUAGACUAUAUUCCAGAUCCAGGUGAUGUUUGUGAGGAAGAUAUCCAACAAGUUGGUAGAAGUGUUAUAGUACCCAAAAAGCGACAACGUUCACAAUAUAUUCCACCAAUGUCCAUGAAUAGAGCUGCUAAUCUCAUGAAACUACGCUGGGUGCUUGCUCCAAAUGUCUCUCAAAAGGUUCCAUCUACUUCAAAUGCAACAAAACCGAAUAAAGCAGGAGCAUAUAGAAGGAUGAUUCUUGUUGAUGAGGAUGACGACGAGGACGAGGAAAUAUUUCAAGGUAGAUGACGCGUAUAAAGACAUAGACGAUACAAUAGACGAGAUACAAAUGGUAGAUCACAACUAUUCUGAAGAUGAACACAAUGAUCAAGAACAAUUGCACGGCCCUGAAAAAGAUAAAGCAACAGAGGUGCUCCCAAAAAGGUUAGAGGUCAUACCCAAAAGGCCGAAAUAUGGAAAAUGAAUUCUACUGAAAGAAUAGCCGUCACAUUUAACGACUUUGGACAACCAGUGGGGGAAGAAGGCAAAGGACUUGUUCGGUAUCUUGGGACACUUGUGAGGAUGGCUGAUCAUGUAUCAAUUAAGUAUUCUGACUGGAGAAAAAGUUCCCAUGAAAAAUAAAGAGGAUAUGUAUUCACUUGUUAAGUCCAAAUUUGCUAUUCAUCCAGAUGAAACAGGUCAGGUUAAAGAAUGGAUAUUCCAAAACAUGGGGAAAAAUGGAGAACGUGGAAAGGUUUAUUAAAGUCACGUGGAUAUGAUCCCAGCCUUACUAGUGACAAAAUUGUGACGCAACAUACUAAUAAUGACGAUAGAGUGAAUCCAACUCAAUUUAAAGAACUUGUUACUCAUUGGUUCACUCUGAAAUUUCAGACUACAUGCGCUGCAAAAAGAUUGAGCCGCUCAAAGAUGAAGGAGCCUCAUGUAACCGGGACAAAGUCGUUUGCUAGACUUGCUCAUGAAGUGGCAAUGAAGAAUGAUGGUGUAUACCUGACCCGAGGAGAAAUGUGUAUAAUAACAACUCGCACUCAUAAAGACGAAAGUUUUGUUGAUGAUAAAGCAGCUAACGUUGUGGCUUCACUAAAAGCUAUUGCAAAUGACUCUGUAAGCAAACCCAUAGAUUCGCAUGAUUUUACAAAUGAUGAAUACUCAAAAGUUAAAGGCACAGAGAAAAGAGGGUAUGUUCGAUUAGUUGGAAGAAUGCCAGCCAUAAAAAGUAACGGUGAUUCUUCGACUAAUUCACAUACUAUUCAUGAGCUACAGAGUGUUGUGAACGUUAUGAUGAACAUUAUCCAAGAACGUAUCCCCGAUGCAAACUUGCCUAUAGUUCUUAGCAAUAUGAACAUACAGGUCCCUCGCGUUGGUUCUUCGGCUCCUAGCAACUCGUUACCUAGCAAGGAAUUAUGAUCUUCAAGAAGUGACGAUAUUGAUGACAGAGCUGACAACAUGUGAAGCCUUGGAGGAAUAGAGAUAACAAGAUUAAUGAAUUGCUUGGAACUAAGUUUUUUUAGAGUAUGAUUUGUAUCGAAAGAACGUUUUGACUUCUUUUGUAGACAUUCAUUUGUUUGCUAAGAUUUACAGUAUGUUUUGGAUCCAACUUUUAGUUGAAAUUAUGACAUUAUUAUUUUUCU